rnacentral:rRNA from 1 species
GAUGAACGCUAGCGGGAGGCCUAACACAUGCAAGCCGAGCGGUAUUGUUUCUUCGGAAAUGAGAGAGCGGCGUACGGGUGCGGAACACGUGUGCAACCUACCUUUAUCUGGAGGAUAGCCUUUCGAAAGGAAGAUUAAUACUCCAUAAUAUAUUGAUUGGCAUCAGUUGAUAUUGAAAGCUCCGGCGGAUAAAGAUGGGCACGCGCAAGAUUAGCUGGUUGGUGAGGUAACGGCUCACCAAGGCGAUGAUCUUUAGGGGGCCUGAGAGGGUGAUCCCCCACACUGGUACUGAGACACGGACCAGACUCCUACGGGAGGCAGCAGUGAGGAAUAUUGGUCCAAUGGGGUGCAAGCCUGAACCAGCCAUCCCGCGUGAAGGACGACUGCCCUAUGGGUUGUAAACUUCUUUUGUAUAGGGAUAAACCUACUCUCGUGAGAGUAGCUGAAGGUACUAUACGAAUAAGCACCGGCUAAACUCCGUGCCAGCAGCCGCGGUU